rnacentral:lncRNA from 1 species
AUGAGAACAGUGUGCCACGUCUGCCAGAAUUUUCCCAGCAAGAUUCCUCCAAAUUUCCCAUUUCAUCCCAGAUUACACACAUCUCAGCCCUGGCAGGGAGGUCCUCAUUUAGAGCCAGUUUUGGAAGUAGUGGAAAUGUUUGACAUAGAUUCAAGUUUCAGUAGUCAUUACCUACCCUGCAUCCAGUGGCAAAAUAAAGAAGGUAUGGUCUUGUUGAAGAGGUGAAGCCGUGGAACCAGGAGCCUGGAUUUGAAUUUGACAAGACUUGCGAUAAUGACUUAACCAUGCUAAAGUGAAUAGAAUAAGGCAUAUUUGCCAUUGUAAGAAGAUAAACAAUUAAUUGACUUUUUUUCCCUAAAAUAUUUAAGAACUCUUGAGCACUGGUGAAAGAUAGCUAUGCUUUCUCAGUUACAAUAUAGAAGUCAGAAAGCGAGUAUUCAGUAAACUAUGAAGUAGGUAGCAUUUUUUGGAAACUCAGACCUUCCCACUCUUCAUCCUUCCUGAGAUGUCUCUCCUUCUCUCUCCUCCUAUGGGCCUGGAUCUCUGCAUCAUACACCUUCUCUCUAACUGUAAAAUGAGAGCUCUUUUUUCCUAUUAAAUAAAUUUCAUGCUCUGAGAAGUGAGGAGGGAACAUAUUUCCAUAAGUUCUGUGAUUGGACCAUAAUUUCCAGGGCCCUGAUAUAAAUCUAGAUUGGUGGCUCUUGUAUUUUUCAUAUUUGACAAAGAAUUAGGACACCCCCUCCUCACACCAGUAAUAUGACCAGUUCUUUAAUCUUCACACAUAAUUGGUUCUGACUUUAGCCACUGACCAAUGAUACAUUUCAUUUUCAGGGAUGCUUAGAAUUUCUCUCUUACACUUCAACUAUCUUAGAAUUGUUCUAACAUUUUCAUUUUACUAAUGGAUAAAUGGAGGCCUGGAGAGAUUACAUGAAAUGCUUUGUCUCCAAAGUGAAGAAAUGACAAAGCUUUCUGUAAUAAUACCUGAAAUAUCAUUACAUGAUACAUUCCUUGGAGCAUGCUGCUUUUUUAUUAUCUGUUUUUGUUUUUAAUAAAAGCCUGUUAUUAAAUUUGCUUUUCUCUAGGAUAAGGAGUGUGCUAAAUUGGAAAUAUUAAUACUUCAUUCAGGUUUGUUGAGAAUCAGUUGUUAUUGAGGUCACACCAGGGUCCACCAAGAUGCCCGAGGCACAAGAGGUACCAGAAAGCGGGGAAGGAGUGCAGAGCACAGACUGGAGUUGUGAACUAGCCCUGGGUUUGGCAAGAUGGGAUUUGUUAGUGAUUCUGAUUAUAGUAGCUUCUGUGUGAUGGUGGAAGGAAAACCUGUCCAAAGUGGGUUAAAAAGAGCAUAGGAUAUGAGGGAGUGAAAGGAUACUAAUAUUUCAUAGAAUUUUCCCCUAAGAUGAGUAGAGAAAUGUAAUAGCUAGAGAGAGACAUGCGGCCAAUGAAGGGAUCUUUCAAAAUAUAGAUUAAAGCAUAGUCUAUUUGUGUGCUCUUGGGAAUGAGCCCAUAUUUAGGAGAAAAUUGAUUCUGAAGAGAAAGAAAUGUGGGUCACAAGGGCAAACUCUUGGGUCUGUGAUCCAGUACACACAUAGAGGAUUUGGCUUUAUACAGGUGUGAAAACAGAGUUUAUGAGAGAAGAGGCAGGUGGCUUGAGGAGCUAGGUGGUAGAAAGACACAGUGGUUCUCUUUUGUUUUCUUUGGUUUUCUCACUGAAAUAAAAUGUCAAAAGCUGAGAGAGAGGAAAAGGAGAGAGUGCUGAAGAUUUCAGAAGAGAUGAGAACAUGUGAACAUGCAUCUCAGAGGUUGAAAGAGUGGGUUAGUUACAGACAUAGAGUGAAAUUGCUGGGUGGUACUAGAAGCCCACUUUAGUGUAUUGGUCAUACAUUUACUGAGAGACAAGUUAGACUGUUAGCGAGUUUUUCUCCAGCCCCUUUCUGCUGCUUGAAUAUUGUUGCAAACUAGGGGGAGGAUUGAGUUAAACUAAACUUGAGGUUUUGCCAAACUAUGGUAAAAGAGGAGAGAGAAGACAGGGAUUUGGGGAAGAUAUAAAAGGAGUGGUUGUAGAGACUGAUCAUUGAAUUGGAGAAAAAUAAGGAAGGAACUGGGGAAAUGAGAUAGGUAACGGACAAUGAAAAGUGGUGGGUCCCGUGGGCUAGAGGUCCUGAUGUAGGUCAAUGAUUUGUGUAGGAGAAGAAGGGAGGGUAAAAAUUUACAUAGUUGCAAAAAUAAGAGUAGAUGUUUGAAAAAAUAUUUCACAAGCAAUGCAGUUAUUAGUAACAACAACAAACUAUGGCCAUGGUAUUGGGUGGCCAUAGAGAUGAAGGAUAAAACUGGAGGUGAGAUAGUAAAGGGUGGAGAAGCUCAGGAGUUGAAUAGUGACAUUGACAUUUAUAUGGAAAAGAUCAAGACUAUAAGAUGUAGUCAUAGAGUGGAGGAGGUGAAGAGGCUGUGAGAGAGUAGUAUAGAAAGGGUGCAGAGUAAGACAUACAUUGAGGUUAGGUCUUCAUUGACUAAGGAAGCUAAGGUGGGAUGCUUGUGACUGAAACAAAGCAGAAAGAUGGCUGGUAGAGCUUGAUGGCCCAUGCUUUAAAAAUUGUGGGUUUUUAAAGAAAGAAGGAGGAAAUAAUUGACUAUAAAUGAUUGGGAGGAACAUGGAGAGUGCCCAGUCUCACCUUCAGGCUCUGUGCAAUGUGGAAGGAAAAACACCUUUCAUCUGAGAGCCCUACAGGGGACAGGAGUUCCACAGGAAGGAACCUGGUUUCACAAGGAGCACACACAUCAUUAUGUGAUGGAGAAGCUAAAAAGAAGUUGGAAGAAUCAGGGAGUUUUCUGGGAUAAACCAUAAGUUCUAGAGAACUGAGAGGAAAAGCUCAAAUGGAUGGUGGUGAUGGUUAAUAAUGGCUGUGAAAUCAUAUUAGAGGAGGUCCAUAGCUUAUCUGAGUAAUGAUUGUUGAUCCAGAGUAAUACUUCUCAAACUUCAAGGCACCUACAAGUCUCCUUGGGAUAUUGUGAAAAUUCAGACUGAGUAGGUCUUAGGGAGAAGAGGAGACAGGGGUUUAGAUUCUGCUUUUCAGAUGUGAGGCAAGCUGAUGCUGAGGCUGCUGGCUUGAGGACUGCACUUUGAGGAGUGAGGCUCUGAGGCUUGGACUAGUCUGGGAGCAUCAGGUUGGGAGGGGAUGUCAGAGGUGCAUUUGAUCAAGGAUGUUUGGAGCUCUGAACAUCCUCACAGAACUAUUUGAUAGUUCCCACCAUUUUUGGAAGGUCAGUUUUUAACCUUCAGUCCUGCUUGUUCCUUCUCUGAGCCCAAAGCACUUGUGUUUAAUAUACGUUUGCUCCACUCAGUGUAUUUUCUUUGUUUCAUAGGUGUAUGUGUAUUAUUCCAACAGGAUGAUUCCUUAGAGCCAGAGACUGUGGGGAAUAGUAGAACAUUUGUGGAUCAUUGAGUCAUAACACCUGACAAUUCCCAUCCAUACCAUUUACUAGCUCUAAAAAAAGCAGUGGAAAAAAUCAUUUACCCUUCUGAUCAUUUUUAUAUGUGAAGUGGGGAUAAUCAUGCCUAACUGCCUUUUAUGAAAUUCAAAUGAGAUGCUUGAUAUAAAAAAGUCUUGUGACCUGUAAAACAAUAUAAUAAUAUGAUAAUGCUUCCUGCAAGGCUUGUGUUUCUCUGGUACGUAUCAGCAUGGCAUUCUGGUAGUCACUGGUCUGAUAAAUCAGUGCACAUUGCUGUACCAGUGUUUAAAUAUUUUUAAUAGAACUUCGGGAGUUCUAUUAUUCUGAAUAUUAUGUUUCAUAAUUCUUGUUAUUUAUUGUGUCUUUUUACAGUGCUAGCAGAAAAAUGGGCAUGAAAUAGUUGUUGUUGAUUAAAGGAGGGUAGAUAUAUGAACAUCUACCCCAGGGACACUGAGUGCAAACGAAGGUAAUUUCAAAAGUCUGUGAAAGUUGUUUCUAAGGACAGUUAAGUCACUUUUACCAGGAAGAAUUAAGAUGUCAUUUUUUGUUCCCUAAAUUUUAAAGUGCCCUCAUCACAGUUUCUUAUGUCAUCUUCCUCUUGAGAUUAUACCUUUCAUCAACACUGCUGCUGACUGAUGAUUGAUUCAUGCAGGUGUCCUCAGCUAGGGAACAAGGCUAAGCACAGCCAAGCUAUGAUUAACCUUACCCGUUUAGUUCUGGAACAGAACUCUCUGUUCCAAAAUGGAUUAUGGGCACUCAGGUCCAAAGUUCUUUAAAGACCUACUAGAUAUUUUAGGAAAAGACUUCCUAGGUAUAUGGGAAAAUAUUUUUACAAACAGUUUAUUCUCUCAUGAUAGAAGUAUAUUGUUUUUUUCUCUUUUUUUCCCCCUUGGAGAGCUUGCUUAAGCAAGGAUUGGUUUUCCUAUGUCUCUGGAGAUGAGAUAAAAAGCAAGGAUUUUGGAGUUCAAGUUCUGGUUCCACCUCUUAUUAGUAGUGAGAUCGUGAACAUUACCUAAUCUCUGCAAGCCUGGGGAUUCUCACCUGCAGGACUGGAAUAGUUGUAUUAUCUUCCUUAAAGGAUUGUUGGAAAUGUUGAGACAAUGUGUUUGAAUUAAGUAACACAGCAUUAGUCCUAAAUAAAUGUUAGUUCUUGGUUACUGUUAGUUCUUGUACUAUUACUACAACUACUAUUAAGAAAAAAAAAAAAAAAACCCUGGAUAUAGGGCUUGAUCCCAGUAUUUAUUAAAAAGUGUAUAAAUUCAGUGGUUAAAAACAAAACAAAACAAAACCACCCAAUUAAGAUGGGCAAAAGAUUUAAAAAGACUUUAUAAGGUGUACAGAUGGAAAAGAGGCAUACGAAAAAGAUGCUUGACAUUAUUAUUCAUUAAGGAAAUGCAAAUCAAAACCAUAAUGAAGUAUCAGUUUCAGUUUAGUUCAGUCAUUCAGUCAUGUCCAACUCUUUGAGACACCAUGGACUGUAGCACACCAGGCCUCCCUAUCCAUCACCAACUCCUGGAGUUUACUCAAAC